rnacentral:rRNA from 1 species
GGCAGACGGGUGAGUAAUGCAUAGGAAUCUACCUAGUAGUAUGGGAUAGCCACUAGAAAUGGUGGGUAAUACUGUAUAAUCCCUGCGGGGGAAAGAUUUAUCGCUAUUAGAUGAGCCUAUGUCAGAUUAGCUAGUUGGUGGGGUAAUGGCCUACCAAGGCGGUGAUCUGUAGCUGGUCUGAGAGGAUGAUCAGCCACACUGGAACUGAGACACGGUCCAGACUCCUACGGGAGGCAGCAGUGGGGAAUAUUGGACAAUGGGCGCAAGCCUGAUCCAGCUAUGCCGCGUGAGUGAGGAAGGCCUUAGGGUUGUAAAACUCUUUCAGUAGGGAAGAUAAUGACGGUACCUACAGAAGAAGUCCC